AUUCUGCCCAUGCGGGGAAGGAUGAGAAGCUUCGACCAAGGUUCGACUCGAGCGCCAGCGAGAGAGCGUGGCCGCAGGCAACGACCCGAAGGGCGAAGCGCGCAGCGCUGAGUAAUCCUUCACCCACCACCA
rnacentral:sRNA from 1 species